GUGGGGAAUAUUGGGCAAUGGGGGCAACCCUGACCCAGCGACGCCGCGUGAGGGAAGAAGGCCUUAGGGUCGUAAACCUCUGUUGUGUGGGAAGAAGGAAGUGACGGUACCACACGAGGAAGUCCCGGCUAACUACGUGCCAGCAGCCGCGGUAAUACGUAGGGGACGAGCGUUGUCCGGAAUUACUGGGCGUAAAGGGCGCGUAGGCGGUCAUUUAAGUCAGCUGUGAAAUGGUCCGGCUCAACCGGAUCAUGCGGUUGAAACUGGAUGACUGUAGUGCUGGAGAGGCAAGUGGAAUUCCCAGUGUAGCGGUGAAAUGCGUAGAUAUUGGGAAGAACACCGGUGGCGAAGGCGACUUGCUGGCCAGCAACUGACGCUGAGGCGCGAAAGCCAGGGGAGCAAACGGGAUUAGAACCCGUGUAGUCC
rnacentral:rRNA from 1 species